GGCUUGCCACUGUCUUGUUUUCAGUUCUAACAACCGUUGUUUCUCAUGGGGUCAAAAUGAGGUAUGAGUCGAUGCUUAACUUUUGUUAUUUCUAGCAUAAGGGGCAGCUGGGACAUGGGGACAUUCUUGUAUAACGUGUCGACUGUUGUUUCUAAACUAUCAAAGUAAGAGAAUCAAUUGCAUUGCCAUCAUUUUAAUUUUCUGAACAUGUGUGUAUGGUAUUGUCGUAUUGCUGAAUCCAUAAAUAUAUGAGCAUACAGAACUUAUAUUAUUCAGGAUGAUGGGU
rnacentral:lncRNA from 1 species